CAAUAUAUACAGCUAGGCUUCAUCGUCGUCAUCGUCAUCAACGCAAAAACAGAUACAUAUAUACAGUAGCCAUGGCUGAGCAUAUAUAUGUAUGUAUAUUGUCAUCGUAUCAUCGAUCUACCAGCUACAAAUUCACACCGACUCUCUGCACUGGACUUCACUACUUCACUUAAUAUAUUAUCGUAAAUGCAUUAUAUAUUUACUCCAAUUUUCCUUUUUCUGCAUCCAUCUUGGGAUUUUUUCCAUCAAUUAAUACAUUUGCUGCCCCUCGAUUUACUCUCUCUCUCUCUCUCUCUCGUCUUCUACCAUUCCCUCCUUCAAUUCCAUUGAAUGAUCAUUUCAAUUCUUAUCAAUUCAAUUCCCUUUCUCUCUCUCUCUCUCUCUCUUGCUUUCUUUCUUUACAAUUACACCCCCCCAACCCCCAUGAUUUAAUUAAUUAAGCUUUAAAGCAAUCCCAUCUUUCUCUGCUAUAUAUAUAUAGGCUCUUCUCCUUCCAUCGCCACCAAAACCCAUCCCUUCAUCUGGUGGAGCUCCGCCGUGACGACCGCCCCCCCGCUUUGCUGCAAAUUCCGGCCGCUUUUUUCAGCUAUCAUGAGCCGGAGGAACGGGAAUAAUGGAGGGCCGAAGCUGGACUUGAAGCUAAACCUGUCGCCGCCGAGGAUGGGGCGCCAGGCGGCGCACGAGUCGCCGGGGCGAUCGUCGACGGUGUCCCCGACGUCGCCGCCCAGCUCGUGCGUUUCGUCGGAGAACCCGGAGGAGUCCCGGCGUUACUCCAGCAGCCCGGAGGCGGCGGCCAUGGUUCUCGCCGGCUGCCCGCGGUGCCUCAUGUACGUGAUGCUCGCCAAAGACGACCCCAAAUGCCCCAAGUGCAAAAGCUCCGUUUUGCUCGACGUUUUCUGCGACCAUAACAAUAACAAGAGCGCCGGCAAGAGUUAGGGAUUCAUCAUAUCGUCGUCAAGAAUUAGCGAAUUAUUCAACCGGUUUAAUGUUAGAUCAACAACUGUUGGAUUGAGAUUGAUCAACGUAAAAGUUACUAGGACGAUGUAUAAUCAUCCUAUUAUUGUUAGUAUUAUUAUUAUUAUUAUUGUUAUUGUUAUCAUCAUCAUCUUCUUCAUUGUGAUAGUUCUAUACUCUGUAACUGUAGGAGUAUAGGCAAUGGAAGUAGGAAAUUAAUCUGGGUACAAUUAUGUUGGUUGGUGUAAGUUUUUGAUCUAUCUUUAGCAGAAACCGAUGUAAGCAAUGGGACAACAACUCAGAAUGCCCAGAUUUAUUUUAUGUAUAAUUUUUUAGGUUAUUUUU